rnacentral:rRNA from 1 species
AUGAACCGAUGCAAGUCAAAGAAAGAUUGGCCGGUGCUGCCGGCUGGCAUCAAGUUCAAUCCCACGGAUCAAGAGCUGAUCGAGCACCUUGAGGCCAAAGUGAGUGCUGACAGCACAAGAUCUCACCCUCUCAUCGAUCUGUUCAUACCAACCAUCAAUAGCGAGCACGGCAUAUGCUACACCCAUCCUGAGAAACUUCUAGGUAUCACACUGAGUGGCCUAAGCAAGCAUUUCUUCCAGCGCAAUUCCAGGGCAUUCAAAAGAGGCACGUGGAUGCAUCGCAAGAUACAAUCGGAGUGCGGCAUGCACGCGAUGUGGCACAAGACCGGCAAUACCUUGCCGGUGAUGGUCAACGGCUGA